GGAUGUGAGGGUGAUCUGGCUGCGACAUCUGUCACCCCAUGGACAGCCAGGCUGAUCUGGCUGGCUAGGCGGGUGUCCCCUCUUCCUCUUCACCGCUCCAUGUGCGUCCCUCCCAAAACUGCGCGCUCCGUCGAAGAGGACGACCAUCCCCGAUAGAGGAGGACCGUUCUUCGGUCAAGGGUAUACGAGUAGCUGCGCUCCCCUGCUAGAACCUCCAAACAGGCUCUCAAGGUCAAAGGUAGAGACACUGAGGCACACCACUUUUGAUGCAAGUCAUUAUCUAAGGGAAAGCCAGUUCUGACCCUCAGGUUUUCUUG
rnacentral:snRNA from 1 species